rnacentral:misc_RNA from 1 species
GCAGGAUCAUAAAUAAAAAAGAUGGGAUUAUUAUAAUGAAAGUGUAUACUGACAUUAUAAUAAUCUUGUCUAUGUUCUAAAUACAAAAUACCUUCACGAGGUUUAGAAUGAGUGAUAUAAGGAAGUUAUAUUAGCUAAAUUUGUGUAUGUGAGAAAAUGAUGUUGUGAUGUUAAAAGGCGCGUAUAGUUAAGUGUAGAGAGUUAUUAUUAGAGAUGUAAACUAUGUGGUUUUAAGCUAGUUUUUAUGCCUAUAAUAUCAAGGAUCUAUAUCUAUUACAACACACUUACUUUAACCA